GAUCUCAAUGCAAUUUAUAAAGGAGGUCAGUUUUCUUUAUCACCAUUUUGUGGGUGGGGAAACUGAGGCAGAAUAAGAUCCAGUGCUAGAUGUGGAGGCCUGACUAGAAAGCAGGCUGCAGAAGCUCACCCAUUAAAUGGGAGACACAGGUUUGAUUCCUGACACUGCCUGAUUUGGAGCCAGGACUUGAACCUGGAUUUUCCACAUUGUAUCAAGGGCCCUAAUCCCUGGGUUUCUGGCUAUUCAGGGGGAAAGCUAGCACUGCAGAACAGCUACAGCUGUGGGAGAGUGAGCUGGAUUCUCCAUUAGUCUGUAUGUCUUCACCAACAUGGUUAGAGCGCAGCGCAGCUGACAGGGCGGCUUGGCUGGAUUGAGCCGCUCGCAUCGGGGCCUCCAUCAGCCAGAGCCCCUCCCCUGCUUUCCCCCCCUCCCCUGCAGACUCAGCGCACCACGCCCGCAGGCAGCGUUGGUGGGGGGAGUCACAAGGGAGCACGGCAGCAUCUAUGCAGCCGCAUGUCUGGCGCCACACAGAGCCAGACUCACUGGUCUGACUGGCACGGUGUUUAGGUUUUUUCCUCUGCGAAUGGGAGGGUGUGAAUGCUGGGAGCUAGCAAGGUGUGCCAGACACUCUGAUCCCAUAGGCCUGAGUCUGUUCCCUUGAAGAACGCUGAUUGGGAUGCGCAAGCUAAUUGGCUGAUCGGGCUGGACGAGUCCAUCCCCUGAGGGGUAGAAGAAGGACAGGAAGGAAACACCAGAGGGAGUAAUCAGUGCUAGCUGAGUUCAGAGAUCUCAAGGAAGGGAGCCCUCUGAUCCUCCCCAGUCCUGUGGGAAAGGAUUAAAAGUUGAGAUGUGCUGUAUAUAAUAUUGCUGCAUGGGAGUGUAUUGGUAUUGGUGAUGGAAGUGUAAAUAAACCACAUGAAGUUGCCAGCCA